AAUAUUGGACAAUCGGGGGAACCCUGAUCCAGCCAUGCCGCGUGGGUGAAGAAGGCCCUUUGGUUGUAAAGCACUUUCUGCGAGGAGGAGGCAACUGUAGUUAAUACCUAGGGAGAGAGGACGCCAGUCCCAGAAUAAGCACCGGCUAACUCUGUGCCAGCAGCAGCGGGAAUACAGAGGGUGCAAGCGUUAGUCGGAGUAACUGGGCGGAAAGCACGGGUAGGUGGCCAAUUAAGUCAAAUGUGAAAUCCCCGAGCUGAACUUGGGAAUUGCAUUCGAUACUGGUUGGCUAGAGUAUGGGAGAGGAUGGUAGAAUUCCAGGUGUAGCGGUGAAAUGCGUAGAAGUCUGGAGGAAUACCGAUGGCGAAGGCAGCCGUCUGGCCUAAUACUGACACUGAGGUGCGAAAGCAUGGGGGGCAAAC
rnacentral:rRNA from 1 species